AGAAACUUAGGAUUAUCCACAAACCGAAGGCCUUCAAAGCCUUAGAUAAGAGUUAGACCCUCUUAGUUUCUG
rnacentral:tRNA from 1 species